rnacentral:rRNA from 1 species
GAUGAACGCUGGCGGCGUGCCUAAUACAUGCAAGUCGAGCGAACAGACGAGGAGCUUGCUCCUCUGACGUUAGCGGCGGACGGGUGAGUAACACGUGGAUAACCUACCUAUAAGACUGGGAUAACUUCGGGAAACCGGAGCUAAUACCGGAUAAUAUAUUGAACCGCAUUGUUCAAUAGUGAAAGACGGUUUUGCUGUCACUUAUAGAUGUAUCCGCGCCGCAUUAGCUAGUUGGUAAGGUAACGGCUUACCAAGGCAACGAUGCGUAGCCGACCUGAGAGGGUGAUCGGCCUCACUGGAACUGAGACACGGUCCAGACUCCUACGGGAGGCAGCAGUAGGGAAUCUUCCGCAAUGGGCGAAAGCCUGACGGAGCAACGCCGCGUGAGUGAUGAAGGUCUUCGGAUCGUAAAACUCUGUUAUUAGGGAAGAACAAAUGUGUAAGUAACUAUGCACGUCUUGACGGUACCUAAUCAGAAAGCCACGGCUAACUACGUG